GAGGAAUGAGUCCCCCGUUCUCACCCCGGGGAGCGGUUGCCUCGUGAGUCCAAGGAGAAUCCGCCCUUUCGUUUUGCGCAGGUGGAGAUCUCGCGGGCCCAGUUCGGAGUCCUGCAAACUGUGGAGGAGAUGCCGCUGUCCCGUCGGUCUGGGGACAGCCCAGCUCCCCGGAUCCCGGGCUGGAGAGACGCGUCGCGGCCCCGGGGCCUGGUGGCACGAGCAGGAAGGAGGACCCGGCGGCGGGCUCUGCCUGGGCUUGCCUGGGCUUGUUCCGAGCCGGGCUGCUUCUCGGUGACCACGCAGAUCGGGGGCAUUUGGAGAUUUUGCGGGAGUCCUGCAGCCAAGCUCCGGGGCAGGAGAGGCCUGGAAGCCUGCACUACCUGCUCGCCCCGUCCCAGCAUGCACCCAG
ensembl:lncRNA MIR34AHG MIR34A host gene